AUCGAGCAUACAAGAUGGCGGCCCAUUAAAGAGUUCAUAUAUACGUGUAGUUGUUUUGUGCAGUGAUUCUGUAGUUUUUUUCUUAACAAUAAUUUACCAAGUAUAAGCAUGGGUACGUCAGAUCUAGAAUGUUUAGAGUCUAAGAGAGAUAUUGUUGGUAUAGAUUCUGAAUCUGACAUGUUGAACGACCAAAGAAAGAAAAAGAAAAGAAAGCAUAAGCAUCACAAGCAUAAGAAAGACAAAAUAAUUGAAAGAGAAGAUGGAAAAAUUGAUCGACAAGAACGGAAAAGACAUAAGAAACAUAAGCGACCUAAAAAGGAAAAAGAGGUCGAAAAUGGAUCUUUGGAAGAAAAACCACCUAGAACAAUUCAAAAAGAUAUUGGUGUUAAUGGCAAAGUGAAAAAUUCGUUACUAGAAGUGGUUUCUACAGAAGAAAGUGAAGAUGAAAAAUUAAUAGAUUUAGAUUCAGAUGAAGUAGACUGUACAAUCAUUGAAGAUGAUAUUGAUCUUGAGGAGUUAAUGAAACAAAAGGAACGGUUACAAGCAUGUUUAGUACAAUAUCUAUCGGAUGAAUCUGAAAAGGAGGAUAAAGAACCAGAACAAGAUGAAGUUAAAGCUACGGAAACACCUGAUGUUAUACUUGUUGAAGAUGAUAGCGAAAAUGACAAUAUACCUCCUAAGAAACGAGCUAGAAGCAAAUCUGGCAGUAGGGAACGUAAAAAAAUAACAAAACCUGAAAGACGCGUUGUAGUCGAUAUGAGCAGAGAUCGAAGAAGUCGAGAUGACCAUAAAGACAAACGAAGAGAUUCUGACAGGAGACGAGAGGAUAAAGUACGUACUAAAGAAGAAUUAAGGAGGGACGAUAAUAGGAGAGAUGACAGGCAAGUACGGAAACCAAGCGAUAGGCAUAGAGAGGAUCCUCGGAAAGAUGAUAAUAAAAGAAGGUCAGAAGAUGAAAAGCGUAAAGAUUCUAUUAAAAGAGACGAAUCACGUAAAAGAGAACAAGACAGACGAGAAGAAGAUCGACGGCGAGAUGUAGAUCAUCAUAAUAAUGCUAGAUCUCGUAAUGAUUACAAACCCGUAGAUAGGUCCGAUAAAGUUUCUGCGUCGAGACGCGACAGUCGCGAUAGAUUGGGAAGCCGAGAACGGCAAAGCAGUCGAGAUCGUCAUGCGAGUAAAGAUCGACCUGCUAGUCAUGAUCGUCGUAGCCGUGAUAGACCCUCCAGUAGAGAUCGGCAUAGUCGUGAUAAAAGGGACAGCAGAGAGCGCCAUGCUAGCAGAGAUCGGCACAGAGAUGGUCGAAGCAGUCGUGAUCGUAAUGAUCUACGAGAUCGACGUGAUAGUCGAAAUCGCGAAAGAAUUCGGGAACGCUCGAGAAGUAUAAGAAGAUCUCGUAGUCCUGUUAGAAGUAGGCUGGAUAGAGAUCGCAACGAUCGGUACAAACCCUCGAGGUCGUUGUCUCGAAGUCGAAGGGACAGGGACAAGCAUGCUAGAGACCACGAUAGAGAUAGAGAAAAGAAUGGUAAGAGGGAACGUAGCGAUAAAUAUAAAGACUCUUUAUCUGAAGGACUCAAAGUUGAACAUUCGGAAACUUCGAGUGAAGAAGAUAUCAAAGACAUUGAUAUUGAAGAAGAGGAAGAUGAGGAAGCAAUUAUAGAACGUAGAAGAAAACAAAGAGAAGAACUUCUCAAAAGGUUAGGCGGUCCAAAUGAAGAUUCAAACAUGUCUGGGGACAUAAACACUGUUCCUGCUACUCCACCUUCAGAAAGCCAAUCAAACGUAUCGCAGAAGUCAAUAGAAAUCCCAUCUAAUAAUAAUGAAUCCACAUCAGAAAGUCAUACCCCACCAUUACCUGAAAAACCAAAGUCACCGCAACCAGUUAAAAAAAGAAAGUCUAGAUUUGAAGACGCGCCAUUAGAAGAUAUUGACAAAAUUGACGAUUUAAAAACAAUAGAGAAAAUUAAACCAGACGAAAAACUUAACGCGAAAAAGUCAAACGAAUGGGAUAUGUUCGCUGAAGCAGAUAACAUUGGCGAUUUCAAUAGUCCCACUGUCGAAGGUAAGCGACAAGGUGGACCAGAUAAUCCAAGUUUAACGGACAAUUGGGAUGAUGCAGAAGGAUAUUAUAGAGUACGAGUGGGCGAAACAUUAGAUUCGCGAUAUGUCGUUUACGGAUACACGGGUCAAGGUGUAUUUAGUAAUGUUGUAAGAGCUAGAGACAGCGCUAGAGGCAAUUUGGAUGUUGCUGUAAAAAUAAUCAGGAAUAAUGAAAUAAUGCAUAGAACUGGCCUUAAGGAAUUAGAAAUUCUUAGAAAACUGAAUGAUGCAGAUCCAGAAGAUAGAUUUCAUUGUUUACGACUUUUUAGGCAUUUCUUUCACAAAAAUCAUUUAUGUAUGGUUUUUGAACCUUUAGCUAUGAAUUUAAGAGAGGUUUUAAAAAAAUAUGGGAAAGACGUUGGUUUACAUGUUAAAGCGGUAAGAUCGUAUACGCAGCAACUUUUCCUUGCUCUCAAGUUAUUAAAACGUGCAAAUAUUCUGCAUGCUGACAUCAAACCGGAUAACAUUCUAGUCAGUGAAAGCAAGUUAGUAUUGAAACUUUGCGAUUUCGGUUCCGCAUCCCAUGCUCACGAGAAUGAAAUAACACCAUACUUAGUAUCAAGAUUUUAUCGAGCACCCGAAAUUAUUCUUGGUAUACCGUAUGAUUUCGGCAUUGACAUGUGGUCCGUGGGAUGCACCAUAUAUGAAUUGUACACGGGAAAAAUAAUGUUCUCGGGCAAAACAAACAACCAAAUGUUGAAAUUCUUCAUGGACCUAAAAGGCAAAAUGCCUAAUAAACUGAUUAGGAAAGGCACAUUCAAGGACCAGCAUUUUGACACAAACUGCAAUUUCCUCUAUCAUGAAGUUGAUAAGGUCACAGAGCGGGAAAAAGUUGUCGUGAUGUCAACGUUAUCUGCCACUCGUGACCUUACCGCUGAGUUAGGUGGAAACUCCUUGCCGCCGGAACAAAAUAGAAAGGUUGGGCAACUGAAGGACCUCUUGGAGCGAACGUUGAUGUUGGACGCGGGAAAGAGAAUCACUGUGAACCAUGCCCUGGCACAUCCCUUUAUACAAGAAAAGAUCUAGGUCAAUAGAGUGCAAUAUUUUUAUAAUAAUUAUAACCAAUACGAACGAUGAAUAAGACAUUGGAGUUCACCGAUGCAUUUACCAACGAAAAAAGCGACAUAUUUGUACGACUCGGAACAAUGUAGUGUAUCAGGGCGUAAAAAUCUUUUUUGCGUGUAAAUUUUUGAAUACAAGUUUCGCUUAGAUUUGGUUUAUUUCUUCUCUUUCUCUGUGCACAGCAGCUAUAAAUAAUAAAUCAACGAUGACGCUAGAAGAAGAGGCUCGCUGAAUUACGUGGUAAUCGUAUUCUCUUCCGUGGACGAUAUGAACUGGGAAAAGUGACCGCCUCUUUCAGCACUGGCCAUCGAUACUUAGCAUAAUGGUGAUGAGUCUUCGAUUCAAAGCAACGUUAAGCGCGAGUGGACCUUUGUGGGCUUUUAACGCCGAUCCCGUUGCAAGCCCUCCCUGUGAGGAGGGGAGGCAAUGGAAGAGGUGAUGAAAUCAGUUGAUGGAAAGCAAUGAUGAAGGAAAUGGCGUGAGAUCGUCGCAGCUGCAGCUUGACAACUGUAUUAAAAUGGUGCCUAUCGCCGAAAGGAUCGCCGAAUAUUUAAUUAAAUUUAUAUCAGCAGGAAGGUUUGUUUCGUUGAAAUUAAUGAAAUCGUAAGUAUGUGAACAGGUAAGGUACAUAUGCGUGAGAAUUACAAAUUAUUACAUUAAAUUAAAACAAAAUACUUAAGUUAUAUUAAAAAUAACAUAAUCCUAAUAUUUAUGGCCUUCAGUUUUCAGAUUGCUAAAUACAAAAAUCUUAGAAAAUAAUUAGAAUACAGUGAACAAGUUUUAGAUGCAAAAAGUACUAUAAUGUGACAUGUAAUUCGAAAAGUGUAACACGGAAACAAUGAUCAGAACAAAUUACACAUAUAUUUAGCGGGAUAAUUAAGUUUAUUUCAUGUUACAUUUUAAUAUAGUAUUUUAUAUUUAGAUGUAAAGAGCAAAUCACAUUUACAGCCAUAGAAUAUCCCUUUCGUUAAUAUUUAACAUUGUUAGCAUUUUUUUUAUCAUGAAUAUGUAAUUUAUAUGAAAUUUAGAUUUAUAAUACAUCUCUUGGAUAUAUUGUCAUCUUUGUUUCAAACAUCUAUGUAAAAUAUAAGUACAUUCUUUAAAAAUU